rnacentral:rRNA from 1 species
CCCUUAGAUGUUCUGGGCUGCACGCGCGCUACACUGAUGCGCUCAACGAGUUUAUGACCUUGCCUGGAAAGGUUGGGUAAUCUUCUUAAAACGCAUCGUGAUGGGGAUAGAUUAUUGCAAUUAUUAAUCUUCAACGAGGAAUUCCUAGUAAGCGCGAGUCAUCAGCUCGUGCUGAUUACGUCCCUGCCCUUUGUACACACCGCCCGUCGCACCUACCGAUUGAAUGGUCCGGUGAAAUCUUCGGAUCUGAGAGAUGUCUGAUUAAUUUCGGACGCCUUUUGGAAAAGUUGCUUAAACCUUACCAUUUAGAGGAAGGUGAAGUCGUANCA